rnacentral:rRNA from 1 species
AUGGUGGUGCUCAAGGUCAUCAACACCGCCGUCAAGGAGCGGCUGCUCGAUCUCCGAGGUUCGCCGCGCCACGCCCCAUGCUCCCUUCCGCUCACCCAUGGGUCCCUCCUCCCCCAUCCACCCCCCACAUCGGCGUCUAAGGUUCUUUGCUUCGCUGCUGCAGGGAGAGAGAUGAGUUCAAUCGAGGACCUCGGCGGCACCGAGGACGAAUUCGAUACGAUUGACCUGUCAGAAAACAUGAUCGCCAAGCUUGAGAACUUUCCUUGUCUGAAUCGCUUAGGAACUCUAGUUGCUAGUGACAACAGAAUCAACUACAUCUGUUCAAAUAUUGGUGAACUUCUGCCAAAGUUGCAUACAUUGGUGCUCAUGAGCAAUGAUAUCACAACUCUUGCGGAGAUUGACCCUCUUGCUGCUCUCCCAAACCUGAAAUCUCUCUACUUAUUAGAGAAUCCUGUCACUGAGACGGCAGACUACCGGUUAUAUGUGAUCCACAUGCUGAAACAUUUGAUGUCACUGGACUUCGAGAAAGUGAAACCACAGGAGAGAACCACAGCAGAAUAUAAGUUCCACUCGAAGGAGGCACGGGAAGAGGUAAAGAAGACAUCUGCCAAAGCUUAUACUCCAAUGAAGCCAGUGGGUGCUCAAUAUAUAACAGAGAAGUCAUGCCCUAAAGCAGUCUCUCCAGUACCAUCUAUAAAGGCUGCUAUUGCGAGCUCUCAGACACUAAAGGAAAUUGGCAAGAUCAAAACUGUAUUGAGCACUGGCCAGAUGGCUGCUGAAUUUGCUUUCUUCGAGCCUGAAAUUGAUAUGGCUGAAGCCUUGGAGAAAACUGAUAAGAUAAAGGGUCAGAAUCACGAGAAUAGGGCUGAUGAGCAGAUGAGCAAUGAAGAAAGCACCCUAAUUCAAGAGGUAAAAGUCAGCAUGUUGAACAACUGGAUGAUAGAUAUAGAUCAGGAAAUCUUUGGAGCUGGUCCAGAUUCAAUAUAUGUAACUCAACCAAGACAUAUGGAAGAAUACAGUAUGAUUUCUGUUUUAACAUGUUGCAUCCUUAAUGUAUACAAGAACUUCCAACAAACACCGUUCAGAUUUAUCUUGAGCUGGAGAAAAAGACUUUUUAAAAAAAUGCACAUAUUACCACUGCCUCGGAUGCAAAUAUCAGCACACACGUGGACUUUAAACUACAUUAUCUAUGAUAUCCCGUUGAAGCUCUGUGCAUGUUGUGCGAAACACUCAUAG